AUUGAACGCUGGCGGCAUGCCUUACACAUGCAAGUCGAACGGUAACAGGUCUUCGGAUGCUGACGAGUGGCGAACGGGUGAGUAAUACAUCGGAACGUGCCUAGUAGUGGGGGAUAACUACUCGAAAGAGUGGCUAAUACCGCAUGAGAUCUACGGAUGAAAGCAGGGGAUCGCAAGACCUUGUGCUACUAGAGCGGCCGAUGGCAGGUUAGGUAGUUGGUGGGAUAAAAGCUUACCAAGCCGACGAUCUGUAGCUGGUCUGAGAGGACGAUCAGCCACAAUGGGAAUGAGACACGGCCCAGACUCAUGCGGGAAGCAGCAGUGGGGAAUUUUGGACAAUGGGCGCAAGCCUGGUCCAGCAAUGCCGCGUGCAGGAUGAAGGCCGUCGGGUUGUAAACUGCUUUUGUACGGAACGAAAAGCCCCGGGUUAAUACCCUGGGGUCGUGACGGUACCGUAAGAAUAAGCACCAGCUAACUACGUGCCAGCCGCCGCCGUAA
rnacentral:rRNA from 1 species